rnacentral:lncRNA from 1 species
UCUCGAAAGUUAUAUUUUGAGAUUUCUUUGUGUAAUUUCUCGAAUUUCUAAAUAUUGUAAAUCAUUAAUUCUAUCGUCUACGAAUAACCCUCUCGUAGAUUGUCUUUCGUAAUUUACAGUCCUUCCUAUGCUCUCGUUUGAGCUACCGAUUGCGUAAAUUGUUAAUGAAUGUGAAUCUUUCUUAUUAGUUAGAAUCUAUGGUAACGUCUGUCUUAUUCUUUUGUUAUUAUCUCCCGAGCUAUGAUCAUUUUUGUUAUCUAUCGAUUUGCAAUAAAGUUCUCACCCUCGCUUUAAACUAACGGAGUAAUAAUUCGCAUGGCGUCAUUCUUUGAAAAUUGAGUAAAAUCACGUCGCCCAGUGACGUGUAGUCUUAAGUAAAGUCUUGCUGUACAUCGCUUCUUCCGACCUACGCGAUUUUAUUCAAUUUCAUUUUUGAUGACUUAUUGAUCCUUGCUAACUUGUGUAACCUAACUUGACUGACUCGAAUGUGUAAGCCUAAUCAACAACAUAAUCGACUGAUUGACCUGUUAAUUUUCCCUCACUUGAGUUUAUUCUUGAUUUCUUUAUUUCUUCAUUUCUUCAAUUAUUUAAUUAUCGUUAGCUGCCUUGAAUAUCGCCACUCUACCACUUUGUGUGUCUAGUAAAUUUUUUUUUUCAAUAUUUAGCUUGAAAAUAAGUAUACGGAACGAUUGGCAAUGAGAGAAAAAUUAUACGCCUUUUUGGCUUUACAUGUGUUGCUCUCUAAAGCCAAAAGGGCUUAUAAGUAAGUGUGAGCCCUUCUGGCACUAGCACCGCGAUAUAUCAGUGUACACUUUUUUACAUCCAAAUUUCAAAAAGUGAAAAUGUGAACCCAAAAAAAUUCGGACCACUCCAUGUAUUGUACAUUGUAUAUCUUGCUCAUCAAAGGUUAAAAAUCAAACAUUUAAACUCAUAGAAAAAUGUUUGCUUUUAAGUGAACCUGAUUUUUUUUUAAUUUUUUCAUUCAACUUUAGGAUUAAAUAUACAACCCACUCACGUUUUGUCGGAGCGACCAAAAAAUUAAAAUGGAAAUACUUUUUUAUACGAAUCGAAAAUAUCUCAUAAUUAUUUAUUCGAUAAUCAUUUUCUUGCAGUGAAUUAGUUGGUGGAGAACGCCUCAUAUUUCUAUUCUACACACAAGAGUUCAUUGGCACUUGUUACCGCAGCGGUGACAACAGGCAUUAAGGAAAAGCAGAAGAAGAAAACGAAGAAGAGGAAGAAGAUGUUCAAUGUCCCAGAGCUGAGUGGGGGAUUGUUUACGGUAUUCAGUCAGUCUUUAUUUCAAAAAAUCAUUCAACGGGUUUGUUUUUACGUCAAGAUGAAGCGUUUAUUAUCAUGUGAACAUCACAAGCUCGAGACAGUCUUUUGGCAAUCCAUAAAUAAUAUUCUAUGUUUCAAUUUUCACGUACAUUUACGACUAGUAAAAAAAUUAUUCGAUUUCUCUCUUCUUCUGUGUAUCUAUUUACCUACCUAUCUCUCGUUUGAUUAUAUCCUUACGUACAAAAUUUAACAAUUUCACAAAUAUUCAUCAAUAGAAAACAGUAUAUCCGAUUAAUAUGUUAAUUAAUAGAGAUACGAUGUAAAUCGUACAUGUAAUAUAUCGAGUCAUUUUCUGGAACGGACCUGCUCGCCACCUCGUUUAUAUGUGUAGCCAACUUCACUGCUAACUAACAGCACUGACUUAAUUACAUAAUUAUUUU